rnacentral:rRNA from 1 species
AUUGAACGCUGGCGGCAUGCUUUACACAUGCAAGUCGAACGGCAGCGCGGGCUUCGGCCUGGCGGCGAGUGGCGAACGGGAGAGUAAUACAUCGGAACGUGCCCAGUAGUGGGGGAUAGCUCGGCGAAAGCCGGAUUAAUACCGCAUACGACCUGAGGGUGAAAGCGGGGAAUCUUCGGACCUCGCGCUAUUGGAGCGGCCGAUGGCAGAUUAGCUAGUUGGUGGGGUAAAGGCCUACCAAGGCGACGAUCUGUAGCUGGUCUGAGAGGACGACCAGCCACACUGGGACUGAGACACGGCCCAGACUCCUACGGGAGGCAGCAGUGGGGAAUUUUGGACAAUGGGCGAAAGCCUGAUCCAGCAAUGCCGCGUGUGUGAUGAAGGCCUUCGGGUUUUAAAGCACUUUUGGCGGGAACGAAAAGGACUGUGCCAAUACCACGGUUCGAUGACGGUACCCGCAGAAUAAGCACCGGCUAACUACGUG